rnacentral:rRNA from 1 species
UACGUAGGUGGCAAGCGUUGUCCGGAAUUACUGGGUGUAAAGCGCGUGUAGGCGGGAGGCCAAGUCUGCUGUGAAAUCGCCCGGCUCAACUGGGCGGGGUCGGUGGAAACUGGUCACCUGGAGGACGGUAGAGGCGAGUGGAAUUCCCGGUGUAGUGGUGAAAUGCGUAGAGAUCGGGAGGAACACCAGUGGCGAAGGCGGCUCGCUGGGCCGGACCUGACGCUGAGACGCGAAGGCGUGGGGAGGCGAACGGG